GCCGGUCCUAUCAUCAAGAUAAACUAAAAGGUAAAAAACCAACAAUCAUCAAGAAGCACAGACCUGAUUCACAGACCCAAGAUGGCAUUUCUUUCAAAGUUCUUGUAGGAACAUUAGCAUCCCUUCUGCCGCAGAAUCACCGAUCGCAUGCCCACCUAAUGGGGCACCGCCACUCCCAAAACCCCCAUCCGAGUCAGCCUUCUUCUCUUCUCUACACUGCACCGCCGCAUCCAGCAAAAGGAGAAAAAGGGACAAGGCAUAACUGGGCAAACAAUAGAAAACAACCCGAUCAAAUAAACCAUCAAGAAGAACAUCAAACUCCGACCCAAGUUCUUGGACGCAAAAGUCAAAACACUAGAGACAAGGGCGCUCUGAGUCAAAAGGGUGACAAGCUGUCGGGGAUGUGAGGAGAGAGCGUACUCGAGAGAGGGUUGCAAGGCGACGGCGGGGGCGCUUCGGAGGAAGUCGGCCAUCUCGGCAAGGAAGGAGGCAUCCUUCUUAGGGUUGCGAAGGAGGUCGAGGCAGUAGGGUUAAGGCGAAAUAAGACGAGCAUUAGGCCUUCCCGCCCACGGGGUGUUUUGGGGAUCGAGAGACGUUCUGGAGAAUUCUAAUUGAAGCGCGCGUCUUAUGUAGAUGGGCUCUCAACGAGUUAGGGCUUGAGAUACCGAUUGAAUGGGCCGAACGAAAGCCCGGUUAGUGGGGAACGCUUCCAGCUUGAUUUUGAUCAUACCCG
rnacentral:lncRNA from 1 species